AUUCAGACUACGCCGUUUAUAUGUUCAACAAUAGGAAACGUAGUCUUAGCUGUUUUAAAAAUUACACCAAGUUUAUUUUGGAUUAUUCCAACGGAAGAAUACAAGGCGCAGGGAACUUUGAGGUACAUUUUUUUGCUGAUGCAGAACAGUGCCUUUCAACAACCUCUGCAAUGACAUAGAGUUUUUACGACCCAGGUGACACCGCGGGACAGUAUGUUCAGCGCCUACGUAGCUUCAAAAAUCAGAUUCUCAUGUUUUUCUCCAAUGAAAACAGAUUUGUUCUGUAUUCCUUUCUAGAUGUCCUGUGGUCUGUUCGAGAAUGCCUACUGCUGUUAUAGGAACAAUUGAACAAACUUGUGUUUUUUAUGCGCUGCAAGCAUUAUAUGCUUUACUCAAGAUUGAUGUUUUAAAGGUUUUUGUUUACCGGACGAAUUGAAAAUAAUCAAUUGAGAGGCAUGUGUCAAUAGCUUUUCAGUGCUUAAAUAUUGUCAUUAAUCAACCUAGAAAUACAGUUGAACUUGUCCUAUGUCAAACAAUCAAGAGGUAAAAAAAAACCUAAUAUUUCAUGGUUUUAUUAGUUACAGCUGCAUGGAACUGCAGAAUCUUCCUCCUAGUUCAAGGUAGCAGGAGAUUCUUGUGAAAACAAAAACAAAUUAUUCAAAAUUUAGUUGUGUGAGCCAUCACAAUCACAGUGUGAAUACGUACCAUAUUUACAAGCAGACCGACGAUCAGCCACUUCACCUGUAUUCAACGAUAGUUUACAUAUUUUGAUUUCAAUGACUCAUAAGCACAGUUAAAUUCAUAAGUAAAAUACCAGAGUUUUCCAUACCAUGUUAUUUCUUGAAGUUGAUUCCUUUGAAUGUUGAAAUCCUUUUACAUUGUGGGUUCUAGUGUUCUUGUAUUUAUCCAGUCGAUAUGGUGCAUAGAGUUUAUAGAUGACGAUUACAUGAUUGUUGCUGACAGUAUAGCUGGGAGUUUCUUGCACCAUGCUCAUGUGAGAUUGAAUUAUGGAUUCCAGUUCCUGGGCAUAGCUUACGUUCUAAAGUUUAGCAACGUUAACAAAUUUGAAAAUUUCUAACUAUGUGAAAUGGCAGCGACUAGAUGCCGCUUCAGUUUCUCAUCUUUUGACUGGGCAGUUGGGUUGAGAGGAUGACCAACACUUGCGCUCUUGUCUUUGAGAUGACCACCAUCAGUCUACUUGAGCCAUAAGAGCUGGGCGGUUGCACAGUUUACCUUGUGUAGAAUCUGACUGGCUUUCUCUUGAGGGACAGAUUCUGAGCAUCAUGUGGGCGGCUGGUUUAAACUCCAAAAAGAGUGCUACUCUGUGAAGGGUUAUUAGAGCUGGACGACACCGAACCCGUGGAUCGGGGCAGAUGGGCGGUAGGCAUGUGGUUUAUAUAAUUUGAUAGCGUGCCAACAGUGUAUUGAUAGCCCUGAGAUGAUAUGGCCGGUCUUCUGUCAUGUUCUGGUUGAGAAUCUGGGACGUAGAGUUGACCCCUCGGCGGCAUGACACGUGGAACCCGACGAUAGGAACUCAAAGGUGUGCGCAUCGGUGCAGACAGGAUUUGGUCUGAAGUCACCCUGCUUGUUACAUCUCUAGCAAGUUCUAAACCACGAGAUGGUUUUUGAGUUUCCUUUGUAGAGUCUUCAGUCGGAGAUUUUGGUUCUUGCCUGAUAUUCUUCUCAGAGGUCCUACUUGAAUAGUGGCUGAAAUCUUGAGAUGGCCGGUUUUGGGAGUGGACACUGGGCGCAGUCAAAUGACCACUGAGCGACAAAUCAUGUCCAAUUAAUGAGCCAUAGGGUAUUUGUCCAGGGAGCUUGUAGCUUAUUGACUGAGGAGCUUUGUUUCUCACAUGAGGAGCACUUGUGACAAUAUUGGGGUUUCCCCUAGAAAUGUGACCACGGGCCCUGUGGCUGCUGAAUGAUUACGAGGGUAGACGGCAGAGCCUGGCCCUUGGCCUCGUUUGUCGUAGAAGCUGGUAGGCGCGAGAUUUGCAGCGAGGUCGAUAGCAUCACAGACAGAGAGGCUUUCACUUGGCAUUUGGUAGUUUGCACCGUGUUCAAGCGCCGUACUCCGGUCUUCAUUUCCACGGGUGUCGUCAUGGGCGGUGCCUUCAUUUGCAGAUGAAAACCUAU
ensembl:lncRNA